CAGUCGCCGCGGGAAUACAGAGGGUGCAAGCGUUACUCGGAAUUACUGGGCGUAAAGCGUGCGUAGGUGGUGGUUUAAGUCCGUUGUGAAAGCCCUGGGCUCAACCUGGGAAUUGCAGUGGAUACUGGGUCACUAGAGUGUGGUAGAGGAUAGUGGAAUUUCCGGUGUAGCAGUGAAAUGCGUAGAGAUCGGAAGGAACAUCAGUGGCGAAGGCGACUACCUGGACUGAUACUGACACUGAGGUGCGAAAGCGUGGGGAGCAAACAGGAUUAGAUACCCCUGUAGUCCCUGUCUCUUAUAC
rnacentral:rRNA from 1 species